UUGGAGGAAUGUAUAGUGAAAGCUAGUAAGAUUGGGAAAAAGUCCAAUUGUAACAUCGAUUUACUCGAAUAAAGUUCUGUGUGAAAUUUGAUAAUGACAAUUUUUGCUCAUGAGUCUUGACUAAAUUACGUGCCAGCAGUCGCGGUAAUACGUAGAAGACAAGUGUUAUUCAUCACUAAUAGGUUUAAAGGGUACCUAGACAGUAAACCAAGCUUUAUUAGAAAGUAAAAGGACUAGUUUGCUAGAGUUACUUAUGAGGGGGCUCUUAGGUACUAAUGAAAGUGUAGAGAUGAAAUUCUUUGAUACCUCCGUUUGAGAGAAUGAAACAAGGCACAGACAAAGGCGAAAGCCUCUCCUUAUGUUAUAACUGACGUUGAGGGACGAAGGCUCCGAAUAAUCAAUAGGAUUAGUUACCCAGGUAAUUGGUAGCAGACAAUGAUGAGUGUCAUAGAUUGGAAAACUAUUUUAUCUAUAAGUGAUAGCGCAAGCACUCCACCUCAAGAGUAAUUUGGCAACAUUGGAACUGAAAUCAUUAGACCGUUUCUGAAACCAGUAGUGAAGUAUGUUAUUUAAUUUGAUGAUCCACAAAGAACCUUACCACAGUUUACUUAGAGUUUAUACUCUGAUGUUGAGACACAUGAAUAUUUAUAUUUUAUAUAAGUACAAGCGUUGCACGGCUGUCUUCAGUUAAUGUCGUGAGACUCUGGCUAGCACCAUAAAAUUAACGUAAACCCUUACUUUAUUUUCAAAGAUAAAGUUGUUCUCCGCUAAUUGGAUAAGAUAACAGGGACUAAGACAAGUCAUCAUGG
rnacentral:rRNA from 1 species